GAUGAAGAACGUAGUGAAAUGCGAUAAGUAAUGUGAAUUGCAGAAUUCAGUGAAUCAUCGAAUCUUUGAACGCACAUUGCGCCCUGUGGUAUUCCGCAGGGCAUGCCUGUUCGAGCGUCAUUUCAACCCUCAAACUCUGCUUGGUGUUGGGCCCUGCCCGCUGCGGCCGGCCCUAAAGACAGUGGCGGUGCCGCCUGGCCCUGAGCGUAGUACAUCUCUCGCUCCAGUGCCCGGUGGUAGCCUGCCAGAACCCCAACUCUCGUGGUUGACCUCGGAUCAGGUAGGGAUACCCGCUGAACUUAAGCAUAUCAAUAAGCGGAGGA
rnacentral:misc_RNA from 1 species